AACGUACGCUGGCGGCACGCCUAAUACAUGCAAGUCGAACGGGGUAGCAAUACCUAGUGGCAGACGGGUGAGUAACAUGUGGGUAUCUUCCCUUUGGUGAGGAAUAACACGAGGAAACUUGUGCUAAUACCUCAUAAGUCUUUACGGAGAAAGCUUUAUGCGCCAAUGGAUGAGCCCGCACUUGAUUAGCUAGUUGGUGAGGUAAAAGCUCACCAAGGCAACGAUCAAUAGCUGUUCUUAGAGGAAGACCAGCCACAUUGGGACUGAGACACGGCCCAAACUCCUACGGGAGGCAGCAGUAAGGAAUAUUGCACAAUGGAGGAAACUCUGAUGCAGCGAUGCCGCGUGAGUGAAGAAGGCCCUUGGGUUGUAGAACUCUUUCGUCGAGGAAGAAAAUGACUGUACUCGAAUAAGAAGGUCCGAUAACUUCGUGCCAGCAGCCGCGGUAAUACGAAGGGACCUAGCGUAGUUCGGAAUUACUGGGCUUAAAGAGCUCGUAGGUGGUUAAAAAAGUUGAUGGUGAAAUCCCAAGGCUCAACCUUGGAACUGCCAUCAAAACUUUUUAGCUGGAGUAUGAUAGAGGAAAGUGGAAUUUCUAGUGUAGAGGUGAAAUUCGUAGAUAUUAGAAAGAACAUCAAAAGCGAAGGCAACUUUCUGGAUCAUUACUGACACUGAGGAGCGAAAGCAUGGGUAGCGAAGAGGAUUAGAUACCCUCGUAGUCCAUGCCGUAAACGAUGUGUGCUAGACGUUGGAAAUUUAUUUUUCAGUGUCGCAGCGAAAGCAUUAAGCACACCGCCUGGGGAGUACGACCGCAAGGUUAAAACUCAAAUGAAUUGACGGGGACCCGCACAAGCAGUGGAGCAUGCGGUUUAAUUCGAAGAUACGCGCAGAACCUUACCAACACUUGACAUGUCUGUCGCGAGACUAAGAGAUUAGUCUCUUCAUUUAGUUGGACAGAACACAGGUGCUGCAUGGCUGUCGUCAGCUCGUGUCGUGAGAUGUUGGGUUAAGUCCCGCAACGAGCGCAACCCCUACUUUUAGUUGCCAUCAUUUAGUUGGGCACUUUAAAAGAACUGCCAGUGAUAAGCUGGAGGAAGGCGGGGAUGACGUCAAGUCCUCAUGGCCCUUACGUGUUGGGCUACACACGUGCUACAAUGGCACUUACAAUGGGAAGCAAAGAGGCAACUCCAAGCCAAUCCCAAAAAAGUGCCUCAGUUCGGAUUGUACUCUGCAACUCGAGUGCAUGAAGCUGGAAUUGCUAGUAAUCGCGGAUCAGCGCGCCGCGGUGAAUACGUUCCCGGGUCUU
rnacentral:rRNA from 1 species